UACGGAGGGUGCAAGCGUUAAUCGGAAUUACUGGGCGUAAAGCGUGCGCAGGCGGUUUUGUAAGUCUGUCGUGAAAUCCCCGGGCUUAACCUGGGAAUGGCGAUGGAGACUGCAAGGCUAGAGUUUGGCAGAGGGGGGUAGAAUUCCACGUGUAGCAGUGAAAUGCGUAGAGAUGUGGAGGAACACCGAUGGCGAAGGCAGCCCCCUGGGCUAACACUGACGCUCAGGCACGAAAGCGUGGGGAGCAAACAGG
rnacentral:rRNA from 1 species